CUGACUCAGGAAGACCUGCUCCCACCCCUACCUUCUGUGCUAGGGAUCACUUCCUUGUUGGGUGGGACCUGAGUUUUGAGAGGGUUUUCUGCUCCUCUUCAUCUGGUCCCUUUCUUUCCAAGGCCCAGGAGAGGAAGGCAUGGGGUGGGCCCUAGCCCUGCUUCUAGCUUUCCUGCCUCCUGCCAGUCAGAUAUUUUCAAACUUGGAAGGGAGAACGAAGUCAGUCACCGGGCAGACUGGGUCAUCUGCUGUAAUCACCUGUGAUCUUCCUGGAGAAGGUGCCUUCUACAUCCACUGGUACCUCCACCAGGAGGGGAAGGCCCCACAGCGUCUUCUGUACCAUGAACUCUCCAACUCCAAGGUUGUGUUGGAAUCAGGAAUCAGUCCAGGGAAGUAUGAUACUUAUGCCACCACGAGGAGGAGCUGGAAAUUGAGAGUGCGAAAUCUAAUUGAAAAUGAUUCUGGGGUCUAUUACUGUGCCACCUGGGACAGGCACAGUGGUUCAAACCUGCCCUACACCACACUGAAAUCUGCCUUGUGGCUGCUUCUGCUACACAAGACAGAGCUGCCCCCUCUCAUUUCUUGUAAGCGAAUUUACUGUAUUCUGAACAAAGAGAAACACAGCUUAACUUCCCCCUAA